GAGAGUUAAAUAGUACGUGAAAUUGUUGAAAGGGAAACGAUUGAAGUCAGUCAUGCUAGUGAAAAAUCAGUUUGACGGGUUUUGAGUUCGGGAGUAGAGGCAGGGUCAAACCGUUUCUCUUUUGGACUUGGGAUUUGUCGGAUGUACUUUUUCUUUGGCAGGUCAGCGUCGGUUUCGGAGGUUGUAAAAUACUUGGGGGAAAGUAGCUCUGCUUCGGGAGAGUAUUAUAGACCCUGGGGGAUGCAGCCUGUGGGAUCGAGGAUUGCAGCAAAUGCCUUUGGCUUGUCGCCUGAUCUCUGGAUGUUACCUUGCUUGUGACAACAUUCUUGCCACUGGUGAGUACUGAUGCCCAUUAGGUUAGAACGAUCAAAAAUUUGCUAAGGAUGCUGACGUAAUGGCUUUAAACGA
rnacentral:rRNA from 1 species